AUACGGAGGGUGCAAGCGUUAUCCGGAUUUAUUGGGUUUAAAGGGUCCGUAGGCGGGUCUGUAAGUCAGUGGUGAAAUCUCGCAGCUUAACUGUGAAACUGCCAUUGAUACUGCAGGUCUUGAGUGUAGUUGAGGUAGCUGGAAUAAGUAGUGUAGCGGUGAAAUGCAUAGAUAUUACUUAGAACACCAAUUGCGAAGGCAGGUUACCAAGUUACAACUGACGCUGAUGGACGAAAGCGUGGGGAGCGAACAGGAUUAGAUACCCUGGUAGUCCACGCCGUAAACGAUGCUCACUCGUUUUUGGGGCGCAAGCCUCAGAGACCAAGCGAAAGUGAUAAGUGAGCCACCUGGGGAGUACGUUCGCAAGAAUGAA
rnacentral:rRNA from 1 species